rnacentral:rRNA from 1 species
GAUGAACGCUGGCGGCGUGCCUAAUACAUGCAAGUCGAGCGAACGGACGAGAAGCUUGCUUCUCUGAUGUUAGCGGCGGACGGGUGAGUAACACGUGGAUAACCUACCUAUAAGACUGGGAUAACUUCGGGAAACCGUAGCUAAUACCGGAUAAUAUUUUGAACCGCAUGGUUCAAAAGUGAAAGACGGUCUUGCUGUCACUUAUAGAUGGAUCCGCGCUGCAUUAGCUAGUUGGUAAGGUAACGGCUUACCAAGGCAACGAUGCAUAGCCGACCUGAGAGGGUGAUCGGCCACACUGGAACUGAGACACGGUCCAGACUCCUACGGGAGGCAGCAGUAGGGAAUCUUCCGCAAUGGGCGAAAGCCUGAUGGAGCAACGCCGCGUGAGUGAUGAAGGUCUUCGGAUCGUAAAACUCUGUUAUUAGGGAAGAACAUAUGUGUAAGUAACUGUGCACAUCUUGACGGUACCUAAUCAGAAAGCCACGGCUAACUACGUG